CGUAACAAGGUUUCCGUAGGUGGACCUGCGGAAGGAUCAUUA
rnacentral:rRNA from 1 species